rnacentral:rRNA from 1 species
CUGCCAGGAUGAACGCUGGCGGCGUGCCUAAUACAUGCAAGUCGAACGCACAGCGAAAGGUGCUUGCACCUUUCAAGUGAGUGGCGAACGGGUGAGUAACACGUGGACAACCUGCCUCAAGGCUGGGGAUAACAUUUGGAAACAGAUGCUAAUACCGAAUAAAACUUAGUGUCGCAUGACACAAAGUUAAAAGGCGCUUCGGCGUCACCUAGAGAUGGAUCCGCGGUGCAUUAGUUAGUUGGUGGGGUAAAGGCCUACCAAGACAAUGAUGCAUAGCCGAGUUGAGAGACUGAUCGGCCACAUUGGGACUGAGACACGGCCCAAACUCCUACGGGAGGCUGCAGUAGGGAAUCUUCCACAAUGGGCGAAAGCCUGAUGGAGCAACGCCGCGUGUGUGAUGAAGGCUUUCGGGUCGUAAAGCACUGUUGUAUGGGAAGAACAGCUAGAAUAGGAAAUGAUUUUAGUUUGACGGUACCAUACCAGAAAGGGACGGCUAAAUACGUGCCAGCAGCCGCGGUAAUACGUAUGUCCCGAGCGUUAUCCGGAUUUAUUGGGCGUAAAGCGAGCGCAGACGGUUUAUUAAGUCUGAUGUGAAAGCCCGGAGCUCAACUCCGGAAUGGCAUUGGAAACUGGUUAACUUGAGUGCAGUAGAGGUAAGUGGAACUCCAUGUGUAGCGGUGGAAUGCGUAGAUAUAUGGAAGAACACCAGUGGCGAAGGCGGCUUACUGGACUGCAACUGACGUGAGG